GGGUCCGUAGCUCAGUUGGUAGAGCAACUGCCUUUUAAGCAGUAGGUCGAGAGUUCGAACCUCUCCGGACUCACCA
rnacentral:tRNA from 1 species